GAGGGGUUAGCUCAGUUGGUUUAGAGCGCCUGCUUGACAGGCAGGAGGUCAGCAGUUCAAGUCUGCUACUCCUCACCA
rnacentral:tRNA from 1 species